rfam:Paenibacillus sp. MAEPY2 contig7, whole genome shotgun sequence.
UACAUCCUGCGAUGUACGUUUCGGUUAUUCGUUGUUUUGAACCAAUGAUGAUGUCUUCGGGAGAUCAAUACAGAAUGUUGCUGAAACGCCCUGUCUAUAUGACAUGGGGACUUCAAAAAACAUUUUUGCGGCCACCCACCUGCCAAGCAGGUUCAUAAGACAAUGUAGCCGGACGGCAUAGGCGGGUUUCUA